rnacentral:rRNA from 1 species
GACGAACGCUGGCGGCGUGCUUAACACAUGCAAGUCGAACGGAAAGGCCCUGCUUUUGUGGGGUGCUCGAGUGGCGAACGGGUGAGUAACACGUGAGUAACCUGCCCUUGACUUUGGGAUAACUUCAGGAAACUGGGGCUAAUACCGGAUAGGAGCUCCUGCUGCAUGGAGGGGGUUGGAAAGUUUCGGCGGUUGGGGAUGGACUCGCGGCUUAUCAGCUUGUUGGUGGGGUAGUGGCUUACCAAGGCUUUGACGGGUAGCCGGCCUGAGAGGGUGACCGGCCACAUUGGGACUGAGAUACGGCCCAGACUCCUACGGGAGGCAGCAGUGGGGAAUAUUGCACAAUGGGCGGAAGCCUGAUGUAGCAACGCCGCGUGCGGGAUGACGGCCUUCGGGUUGUAAACCGCUUUCGCCUGUGACGAAGCGUGAGUGACGGUAAUGGGUAAAGAAGCACCGGCUAACUACGUG